rnacentral:rRNA from 1 species
UACGUAGGGGGCUAGCGUUGUCCGGAUUUAUUGGGCGUAAAGAGCUCGUAGGUGGUUCGGUAAGUCGGAUGUGAAAUCCUCCAGGGCUCAACCUGGAGGGGUCAUUCGAUACUGCCGUGACUAGAGUUCGGUAGAGGAGUGUGGAAUUCCUGGUGGAGCGGUGAAAUGCGCAGAGAUCAGGAGGAACACCCGUAGCGAAGGCGGCACUCUGGGCCGAUACUGACACUGGAGGAGCGAAAGCGUGGGGAGCGAACAGG